AUUGAACGCUGGCGGCAGGCUUAACACAUGCAAGUCGAGCGGGGUGAUGGUGCUUGCACUAUCACUUAGCGGCGGACGGGUGAGUAAUGCUUAGGAAUCUGCCUAUUAGUGGGGGACAACAUCUCGAAAGGGAUGCUAAUACCGCAUACGUCCUACGGGAGAAAGCAGGGGAUCACUUGUGACCUUGCGCUAAUAGAUGAGCCUAAGUCGGAUUAGCUAGUUGGUGGGGUAAAGGCCUACCAAGGCGACGAUCUGUAGCGGGUCUGAGAGGAUGGACCGCCACACUGGGACUGAGACACGGCCCAGACUCCUACGGGAGGCAGCAGUGGGGAAUAUUGGACAAUGGGGGGAACCCUGAUCCAGCCAUGCCGCGUGUGUGAAGAAGGCCUUAUGGUUGUAAAGCACUUUAAGCGAGGAGGAGGCUCUUUUGGUUAAUACCCAAGAUGAGUGGACGUUACUCGCAGAAUAAGCACCGGCUAACUCUGUGCCAGCAGCCGCCGUAA
rnacentral:rRNA from 1 species